AGCCCCCUCACUGAUGGCUUUGCCGCCCAGGAACCCUGCAGGGCAGAAGUUGGGGAGGGAAUGGCAGUCUGAAUAGCGGUCUUGGAUGGCUGGAAGCUGGCACCUGUGAACAAGCAACAGUGAUGGUGAUGCAUCCGGAACCAGGCUGCCCAGCCAACCAGCGCUUUCCCACCGGAGCUCUUUGCUCUGGGCUCCUCUGCCGGUGAUUUCCCAGGUCCUGCCUUGCAUUUUCUCCCUCAUCUUCACAUGUGGGGAGCCCCUGGCCAGCUACUGAAGACCCCCAGACAAGCCUUCAGCUUCCAGAUCAUGCAAGGCAGCAUGGACCUAGACUCACUUGUAUGGAAGAGAAUAAGGCGGAAGUGAGGAGAGGUCACUCCCAAGGUCAAGUCACAGGAGGACCGAGUGCCUUCCGGGUCACUCACUUGCCCUCAGGAAAGCCAGCGCCAUGCUGUGAGCUACGCUGUGGAGGAGCCACAAGAUGAGGACCUGAUGAGCCAGCAAAGACCUGAGAUUGUCAACAGCCAGGGAGGCAGGAGACCCCCGGGAAGGCGGAGCCUGACUUUUGUCCAGGAGGCUGGACUACCGACUUCAGAAGGGAAAAGGCCCUCUGGCCUGCACAACAUGGACAUGGGCAGAAUGGUUUUUCCUAACCAGGCCUUCUGGGUUGCAGCAGGACAGCCUGUGUCUGCUCCUCAAAUGUAACAGAUUGUCUCUGGAAACUGGGAAAUCUGACCAGAAGGCCCUUCGCCUCCCAGGCUCUGUAGCUUCUGCAGUGAUGAGGCCUGGCCACCAGAUGGCUCCACAGAGACCACUGCGCUCUCAGGGAAGAGGAGGUUGGGAAGAUCCAGGGGAGGACAUGGAAUUGGAUUCUCACCUGGGGAAGCUCUGCCCAGUUAAAUUGAGUGACUUGCCUAAAGCAACUAAGGAGUGACCCAAGGCACAGAUCGACUGGCUUUUGCUGCUCUCCUCAGGGAAGAGGGAAGUACCAUGUCUGUGACCCCUACCAUUGUCCAGGCUUCCGGCGAGGGUCUUCGUGGUCCCGUGAAGAACGCAGGACAGGCAUCAUCAUCUCCGUUUUUCAAACAAGAAAAUGAGGCCAAGACAGCUACUCUGUUUUGGCUAACGCAGAAGGGGAUGCGGGUGAAGAAGCUUCUAAGUCCGGCCCUCCAUUCGCCAGAGUAACCGCCUCUCCCAGAGGGCGCAGAGUGAACAGUACCUGGUCCAGGUAAAGCUCAGCAAAGGCUUGAGCCCAUUCAGCAAACACUGCCCUUCCCCCAGCGCACACUUCUUAAGUCGGGGCGGCCCAGGGGACUUGCAUUGCUGCUGCCUCACAAGGCCAGCCCCACACGUGGGAACCCCCGAGCGAGACCCGCGCGCCGGCGCCCCCUUCGCCCCCGUGGGGGAAUGGCGCCCAGCCCCGGGCCAAUGAGAGUAGCGGAAUUUAUUUCAUUCAGUGUGGGGCCGGGCUCUUGCCCGGAAAGGGGCGGGGCGCCACGCCGGGGGCGGUGCCGCCGCGCGCCCGGGAGAGGGCGGCGCCCGCCCCGUGGCCCGGCCAAUCGGCGCCGCGCCCGGAGAGGGAGGGGGGACCAGGCCUUUUUUCCCUCCGCGCGGGGCCAAUCCCGACUUUACAAGCUUGAACUUUUGCCACCCUCGGACGAGAGUGCGCGCCCGAGGAGGUACCCCGCCGCGCCGGCUCCAGGGGCAAGAGCGGCCUUAACCCUUCCCGCGCCAGGCGGUCCGCUGCUGCCACCGCGCCCCCACCAGCUUGCGCGGGAUCAGAAGGGAUCUGGGCCCCCAACCCACCCCUAUUUCCAUGGUGAAAUGUCGCUGGGGAAAUCACGAGCCCUACCCACAUCCCUCUUUGUGGUGCAGAGAAUAAACUGGGGAAGGAAAGGGGGUGGAGGAGUCACCCAGCCUCGAGGGGGCCCGGACGGCUGGCGGCCCGCCUAGCUCUGAGGGAAAGACUUGGCGACCGAGAGGAGCCCGAGAGAAGACAUUCCCCGCCUCCACCCCACCGUCCGUAACUCCCUACCUCGAGCAAGCCUAGAGUCCCUCUGCGAGAGGUAUCCCACGCCUCCCGUCUGACCCGGCGGACUACCCCCGACUUUGAGCAGGGGAUGUGGAAACCUCGUGCUAUCACGUUAGAUCCCGCCACCCCAACAAAUCAGCCGCCCCCUACUGCCAAAAAACGUAAGCCAGGAAAGCACACACGCACACCCAUUUUUAUUAGCCUUCCCUGGGAUGGGGGUUUGUACCAAUUCUAAAGUGCAACGUGUGUUUGAAGUUUGUGCACAA